UAUUCCCGAGGCGGGCAAAGUAGGUGCCGCGGCGCGAUGAGACGGCGAGGUGAAGCCGGAUGAGAAGUAGAAGACGUAGAAGAAGCAGUCGGUGGAGGCGAUGGAGCACGGGCAGGACGAGGAGAAGGAGGUGGAGGAGGAGGAGGAGGAGCAGGAGGAGCAGGAGGCGGUAGAAGAGAAGCGAGGAGUACAUAGAAGAAGGCGAGGAGGAAGCAGAAGAAGAAGCAGAGCUGCCACCGCGAUGGCAAAGAAGUAGCCGGCAAUCGACAUCAGUGUUCGGAGCGUAUGGAUUGGUCAUUACGAUAUUGGUGUCCCGGGUCGUAGCAUGCUAGGGCAAUUUCAGCAUAUCACAGUGUUUCCUUGCUGAUCAUGCUGAACGCGUGCGUUUAUUCAAUAAAUAUAUCGUAUGAUAAAUAAAAACG